AGAGGAGCCCCAGCAGUGCUGUCUGGGACGGCCAGUGCAAAUGCCGCAGCUUCACCCCAGCACUCCACUCGCCUCCCUCCUGCCCCGCGCGUGGCCCCACUCCUGGCUGGGGACGACCUGCCUGCGCCCGCCUGGCUCCGGGAAACCCUGCUGGGAGCACCGCGCGGGCUCCUUGCAGCGCUGGCUCCCAACAGCUCAGCUCCAGCUCCAGCGGUGCCCCGACCUGCGCCCGGGGACAGAGGAGCCCCAGCAGGGCUGCCUGGGACGGCCAGUGCCAACGCCCCCACGUCGCCCCAGCGCCGGCUCUGGGACGCUGCCGCCUGCGCGCAGAGCCUGGGACAGCGUGUCCGGCAGCAGGGGCUGCGUCCCGGCCCCUCUCACCCCCGCGGGCACCUCGGAGGCGCUUCCUGGUGAGCCGGGGGACGUUUUCCCCCGGUGCCUUCUCCCUGAGGAGCCUGGGGGGUUGUGUCCCUGGUGAGUAACAGCUCCAGCCUCGCUGCCUGUCUCUGUGUCCUGGCCAGGGGCUGCCGACACCGCGCGACGGCCUCGCGCCUCCUUUCUGCGCUCCGCAGCGAAGCCGGGAGCACCGCGAGGUUUGUUUCCUCCCGGACAGAAGCCGCCCGGCUCCCUGCUCGCAGCAGGACGAUGCCUCCGCUCGCCUCCCUCCCGCCCUGCGCGGGGCCCCGCUCCUGGCUGGGGACGACCUGCCUGCGCCCGCCUGGCUCUGGGCCUCCUUGGGAGCCUGCUGGGAGCACAGCGGGGGCUCCUCGCAGCUCAGCUCCGGCUCCUUAGGGCUCGGCCUCAUGACAGCAGUGGUGGUGACUGACAAGGUCGUAAAUCAAUCACUGUCACAGCUUGCAUAUUAAUAUCAUAGUUCAAUAUUUCAUACAUACUGCACAGUUAGUUUAUUAACAGUGUACAUACUCCAUGCACACAUUGAAUAAAGAGUCCAAGUCUUGUACAAAUGGGGAAUAAACAGGGGAACUGGAA